AGUUCUGUCGGCGUUAGAGCAUGCGGCUGUUAACCGCAGGGUCGUUGGUUCGAGUCCAAC
rnacentral:tRNA from 1 species